GUGAAGAACGUAGCGAAAUGCGAUAAGUAAUGUGAAUUGCAGAAUUCAGUGAAUCAUCGAAUCUUUGAACGCACCUUGCGCUCCCUGGUAUUCCGGGGAGCACGCCUGUUCGAGUGUCGCGAAAUUCUUCAAGCCUUGGAUGGAUUUUUUUUUGUCUGUCCUUGGGCUUGGUUGUUGGGCUCUGCCGUGUCCUUCAUUGGGACGGCUGGCCUUAAAAGCAUUAGCCGAUCCUCGUGUGGUACUGGUUCUACUCAGCGUGAUAACAAUCUGAUCGUUGAGGACAUCUUCUGGAUGGCCAGUCAUCAUUUGGGUUGCUUCUAAACCGGUUUCGCAGAUUGCUCAAUCUGUGUGCCACUUUUCAGCUUUGACCUCGAAUCAGGUGGGACUACCCGCUGAACUUAAGCAUAUCAAUAAGCGGAGGA
rnacentral:misc_RNA from 1 species